UACUCGGGAGGCUGAGGCAGAGGUUAACUUGAGCCCAGGAGUUUGAGGCUGUAAUGAGCUAUGAUGACACCACUCACUGUACUCUAAACCUAGGUAAAAGAGCAAGACCCUGUCUCAAAAAAAAAAAGAAAAAAAAAGUCCAAUUCUUCACCAGGCCCCCCAGAGGCCUUCCUCACCUACAGCUGGUCCCUUCUCCAGGGAUGUGGCCAUCCUGGUCUCCACCCUACUCCCCAAGGACGCCGAACUCCCACCUGCUCCCAGGCUGUGCUCUGCUCUGUCCCCUUGGGUGGAAAUUUUUUUCCCUUCCCAGGAACAACUUCUUCCCCUGUGGGUGGUGGCAUGUGCGACACUUCCUCCAGGGUAGCUCACGUGGCCCCGCAGCCCACGUUGUCUUUUAGUGCUCACCCUGUAGAAACCCACCCAAUAGGAUGGCAGCUGCUCAAGGUGUGGCCUGUGCCUAAGGCAGCGCCGAGCCUGGAACGGCCCCUUCUGAAGGAUGGGCCGAAGGAAGGACCAUGGUGAUGCUGGGCCCUAGGGAUGGGCUUGCGGGCAGCAGCAGGACGCCAUGACAUGACAGCGCCAGAACCAACCUCGAAGCCCCCCGGGAUAUGGUGACUGCUGAUCAGAGACAGGAAGCUGGGGGCGGGGCAGCUGUCCUGGCCACACAGCAGGCUGGCAGCACAGCAGGGACCUGAGCCCCAGCAUCCAGUGCAUCCAAGCACGUUCUGCCACAGCCGCUUGCCCAAGGACCCCAUCUGCUGGCUCCUUCCCACCCAUGUCACGAAGGCCACUCACCUCUGAGGUCUGCUUCUGCCAUUCCAGCCUGCGGAUGGGCGCCGAGUCCAGCGCUGAGAGGAUGGCCAGGACCAUCUGGAACUCUGAAAAUGACACUUUUGGGUCCAAUGAAGCUGGUGACAGAACCCGUGAGCUGCUUUUGCUCGGUGCAUACCUCCUCUGCCCCUAGGUACGCUAGAAACCACACCACUCCCUGUUUAACAGUCCGGGAGACCUCAGCCUGGCAGCAGCAUCACACAGGCAUCAUGUGGACGGCAGCGCUGAGCGGCCAAGAGGCCUGAGAAUGACAAGCAGGCAUUGCCUUGCUCUGCUAAGAUCACCCUGGACACCAGAGGUAGCUGAACCGUGACCUAACAAGGGAGGAAAAGCUUGAACACAUCCAACAUUUCACAAAGAAGGUGGAGUCAACAUGAAGUUGCAGGGUCUUGCUAUGUUGCCCAGUCUGGUCUUGGAACACCUGGCCUCAACUGAUCCUCCCACUUUGACCUCCCAAAGGGCAGCCCAUGUUGGAGAAAUUUACUGCAUAUUUCUACACCUGGUCAGGUUUGGCUUAUGCUAAUAUUGAAAAAUGUUACAAAAGAUUAAAGAGACAUAAUGACUAAGUACAAUGGAGAACUCCUGAUUGAUCUUGGUUGCAAAAAAAUUAAGAUAUACAAGACAUUUUGGGGAGAACUGGGGAACUGGAACAUGGUUUGCCUAUUAGAUGACAUGAGGGAAUUUAUUAAUUUUCUUAGGUGUGACAAUGGUAUUGUGAUGAGGAUUAUUUUUGGAGUGGCAUGCUGAAGUAUCUGUGGGCCGAGGCCACAUCUGCAACUUACUUUCAGGUGGUUUAGCAACACAAUUUAUACAUGUCUCGAAAUGUCAACAAUAACAAGUCUGUGUGGGUGUAGGGGUAUCUUUUAUGCUCCCCGUCACAACUUGAAAGAGAACAAAACCACGGAAGGUUGGUCAGGAUUGGAAAAGGUGAGACUAUCAUGGUAACUUGCAAGGUGGAUGACGCAGGUGCAGACCAUCAGGAAGUAAUGGCAGACUGCAUGUUAAGGCCUUUGAAGAGUAGGAUUCUUAGUGAUUUUUCCUGCUUUCUUGGAAUUUUCUGUUCUUUCCAACAGUUUCUAACCUGAGCAUACAUAAUUUUGAGAAUCAGGUCUACUGCCAUACCACCCUGAACGUGCCGGAUCUCGCCUGCUCUUGGAAGCUAAGCAGCGUCAGGCCUGGUACAGUGCCGGCCGCUGAGGGAUCUCUGGGAUGUCCAUCUUUCCCAGCUGGUGAUUCCUGAAAAGAGACAUGAGCAUUGAGUUUGGACAGGAGGUCCACUCCAGGGCGGAUCUGUCUUCCCAGCAUUCCUGCCCACAGUGGCUUUGGAGUGCAAGGUCCUACGGAGCAAUCUGAGAUGAGAACAAGUUAAUGGUGAAUGCAGUUAAUUACAGGAGGCACAAGCCCUCUUGAGACUACCAUCCUGCCUUUGGAGAGAGUGAAAGGUGCCACUAAUUGUAACAUUUUUCAGCUGCCAACCUAGACGAAGCCACCUCAACCACCUCCUCAAAGAAAGAGAACUGCCACCACAGCCAGCCUACCAGAGCUUGACCAGGCCUGGGCUAAGGGCUCUGCACACAGCUCCUCAUUUGGCCUCUUCAAUGAGCUAAGACCACUGUCCCCAUGCCACGUGAGGAAACCGAGGCUAGAAGUCAAGAGUGCUGCCCAAGAUCACAUAGCUGGUAAAUGGCAGAGCCUGAAUUUGAGCCCAGGGCUGUUACCUGCAAUGCCUGUGCCCUUAAGCACUGGGCACUGUGGUCACGUGCACAACUCCACUGACUUCAAGAAGUCUUUAGGGCUAUAGUGCUCAUCCUGGUACAGUCCCCAGAGGUCCAGCUGCCUAGGCACGUGAGUGUCAGUCCCCCCUCUCCUCCUCCAGCAGACUUGCUUCCUCCUGGGUCUCUGGGCCCACCCGAUUCAGUGACAACCAAGGCCACCGCAGAGAACUGGGGUGGCACAGAUAUAUAGAACAUCACUGUGGAGAGUGGUUUAAGGACAAGAAAAGUCAGCCCUGGAUGCAGCUGUUGGUAGAGGCAGACAGCAUGGAAAGCCUCUCUCUGGGGGGAUGGACUCCACCACAUGGAGGCCGAGCUGGAUGGUGCCGGAGGCACAGGUCUGAGGGGACAGCUGAGGUAGGGACAUCAGCUUGGCUCCCAGGGACAGGAUCAAAUCCCACUGGAGUGAAAAUUCCUCAUGUUCCAUGACUUGCUAACGCCUGAGGUGGGGCUUGCCCUGUGUGGACAUCCACAAUUCUGUGGGGACCGCACUCUUAAGGGGGGCCCUGCCCUUGGGGUUGAUGACUGGGGAGUUCUCAGUCCUCAUGGACCCUCCCACAAGGACCUUGCCCCACUUGGCAUGUAGGGAAGAGCUAUUUUUGAAGCUUCUGAAGUUGCUCAUGUUUUGCUGAAGCAAAACUUGGAAAGCUGAUUGCUCAACAGAACUGCAGUCUCUCGACCACCAGGAGCUGGGACGGCAACAUAACGAGGGUGAUGGUGCCAGUAGAGACGGGGUCUCGCUCUUGCUCAGGCUGGUCUCC